rnacentral:rRNA from 1 species
UACGGAGGGUGCGAGCGUUGUCCGGAAUCAUUGGGCGUAAAGCGCACGUAGGCGGCUUUGUAAGUUAGAGGUGAAAGCCCGGGGCUCAACUCCGGAAUUGCCUUUAAGACUGCAUCGCUAGAAUUGUGGAGAGGUAAGUGGAAUUCCGAGUGUAGAGGUGAAAUUCGUAGAUAUUCGGAAGAACACCAGUGGCGAAGGCGACUUACUGGACACAUAUUGACGCUGAGGUGCGAAAGCGUGGGGAGCAAACAGG